rnacentral:rRNA from 1 species
GAACGGGUGAGUAACACGUGGGUGAUCUGCCCUGCACUUUGGGAUAAGCCUGGGAAACUGGGUCUAAUACCGAAUAGGACCACGCGCUUCAUGGUGUGUGGUGGAAAGCUUUUGCGGUGUGGGAUGGGCCCGCGGCCUAUCAGCUUGUUGGUGGGGUAAUGGCCUACCAAGGCGACGACGGGUAGCCGGCCUGAGAGGGUGACCGGCCACACUGGGACUGAGAUACGGCCCAGACUCCUACGGGAGGCAGCAGUGGGGAAUAUUGCACAAUGGGCGCAAGCCUGAUGCAGCGACGCCGCGUGAGGGAUGACGGCCUUCGGGUUGUAAACCUCUUUCAAUAGGGACGAAGCGCAAGUGACGGUACCUAUAGAAGAAGCACCGGCCAACUACGUGCCAGCAGCCGCGGUAAUACGUAGGGUGCGAGCGUUGUCCGGAAUUACUGGGCGUAAAGAGCUCGUAGGUGGUUUGUCGCGUUGUUCGUGAAAACUCACAGCUUAACUGUGGGCGUGCGGGCGAUACGGGCAGACUAGAGUACUGCAGGGGAGACUGGAAUUCCUGGUGUAGCGGUGGAAUGCGCAGAUAUCAGGAGGAACACCGGUGGCGAAGGCGGGUCUCUGGGCAGUAACUGACGCUGAGGAGCGAAAGCGUGGGGAGCGAACAGGAUUAGAUACCCUGGUAGUCCACGCCGUANACGGUGGGUACUAGGUGUGGGUUCCUUCCUUGGGAUCCGUGCCGUAGCUAACGCAUUAAGUACCCCGCCUGGGGAGUACGGCCGCAAGGCUAANACUCAAAGGAAUUGACGGNNNCCCGCAC